ACCAGGAUGGCUGAGUGGUUAAGGCAUUGGACUCAAGAUCCGUUGAGCGUAUGCUCAUGUGGGUUCAAAUCCUACUGCUAGCA
rfam:Oryzias latipes DNA, chromosome4, strain: Hd-rR.